GCGCGGGUGUCGGAAUUGGUAGACGAUCUGGCUUGAGGGGCCAGUGGCCGAAAGGCCGUGGAGGUUCAAAUCCUCUCCCGCGCA
rnacentral:tRNA from 1 species